CACUGGGAUCACACCCUGAGCGGAAGGCAGACGCUUAACUGCUGUGCCACCCAGGCACCCCACCUCUGGCUUUUUAAAAAGUGCUUGGCUUAAGAAUCAGGACUUGAGGACUUUAAUUAUCUAUUUCCAUCCAUUUUUCUAAAUACAUUUAUGAUCCUUAUUGCUAAAAAUUCUGAUUUAGUAUCAGAGAUUGGGCCUACGGAAUCUGUAUUUUGAAAUAUUGCCCAAGUGAUUUUCACGCACAGACAGAUCUGAAAAUGACAGUUAUGAUAGGAAAUGGAGGACAAUACACUAUAUUUAAUAUGGUUACUGGUUUUGUCCUUGAGAGUUAUUGCUAGGAUUCAUAACAGCCAAGGCAAGGUCAACAGGAUGGAAUAUGUGAUCCUUCUCACAAAGGGAAAUAAGGCACCCCCUAUCGGUCAGAUCAUCUCUCUCUUUCACACUGCAAGGUUAUUCCCCCUUUACCCUCCCGGGUCAGACCCACUGUGAGGCUAGUGCUGGCCUCUUUGAUUCUGAGCUUACAAUAUCCAUUCAGACGCUGUGACCUAGGCUCUUAUUUGCUUCUAGUGUGGUGCCAAUUUCCCUUCUUCAUCGCACAUAAACUUAUACCAGAAAGAUGUCAAGGUCUGCUCUGAACUCGGUGAGGCAUCUGCUGCCAAUUUUAGUUUUCUGAUCUUUCAUUCCAAAAUAAAUAAAAAUAAAACCCGUCAGCUCUUCUUUUGCAAACAGACUACACAGCUUGCCAUUGACUAUCAAGAUUCCAAAAAUGGUUUUCUCUGGGAAACACCAGGAUCUCUUGUGCAAAGACUCGCUGAGCUAUUGUCUGUCUUCCCAGGAACCUCUUUUUCAGUAUUGUUGGGGGACAGGUGAAGGUUCAUGUCAGUAGCUUUGGCCUUUAAGUUUGAGAUCCUGAAUCUUCUGGAGGAGUGCACUGCUCCCUGGGGGGGGAGAGGGGGCACAGCUGCCACACAAACUUUCUACAUGCAAAGAGCACUUUUGAAAUUCAUGGGAGAGCAUGACUCUCUGGCUAGAGCUGUGAAUUCUUUCCACACAUCAUCUUUGGCUGGAAUGUCUGUAGUCGCAAUGUCUUGUCCAGGUCUGAGAGCUGAGAGGCACAAAGAGCAGGGAACACCUUUGUCAGUUACUAGAACACUGGCUGCUGAGAUCAGGUAAAUGAGCAAAGGCAGUGGUAGCGUUGAGUCCAGCCUUGCCCUAGACUCAUGUCUCUUGCCUAUAAAAUGGGACACUGGGGCUGGGUUAGCAUUUUCCAAAGUGGUUGAUGAUUUUAUGUGGUUAUCAGAUGAGAGUAUAUAACAUUUUAUGAUUAUGUAUAUAUUUUCACGGUUAUUUUCUGUUUAUGAUAGGUUUUGUGAAGAGUACGGAAUAUGAUCCCUUAACAAUAUAUAUUUAAGUUUACAUUGUGGGCCUUUUUAGAAAAAACAAAAACAGAGAACAAAAUGAAUAAUACAAGACGUAUGUGGGGGAAAAAAUUGAUAUUGCCAUGAUAAAGUUUGCCUAUUGGAAAGCAAUGGACCAAAUGGCUUCCGAGGGUCAGGCCAGCUCUAUGACAUUCUAGUAUGUGCACCUCUCCAGGACUAUUUCCUUACCUAUAAAAUUCAGGGGUUGGAGUAAAUGUCCUUUCCAGUAAUUCUAUUCUAUGAUUAGGGGUGUAACUCCAACAUGCAGAUGUUUCAGUGUCCUUAACAUGUGGUUCUAGCAUUUUAAAACUUGUGAUACAGUAUGAAAAUGGGAGACUCAAUAAUAAAGUAGGAGUUUAUUCAUGCAUUUAUAAUUUUCCCCAUUCUCCCUCAUUUCUGGAAAAGGUUUAGUUAUCAACUGAGUUGAGUGGCAGGUGAAAGUUUAUGGAAGAAAGAAUUAGGACAAUUUGAUGGUGCAUUGACCCCACCACUAACUGUUUACCAAACAGACCCUAGAUCUCUUUGUCCCUUGGUGUCUGUCUCUUUGUCUAUGGGAUAAAUGGUUUAUGGAGUCACUUCUAUGACAGCUACAAGAAUUAAGUGGAAGAGAGGAGUCAAGAAAAUUCAGGAAAGUGCUAUAUAGAUUGGAAAAGUUAGUAUCCCAUGGGAUUAAAAACUCUUUGAAGGAAGGGUUCCUUGUCUUAAUUUUAUGAUCCAAUUGUAUAAUCCUAAGAAUACUUCCCAUCUUGCCCACUCAUUUAAAAAGCAGUAAAAUUAACCCAUGUGUCACUUUUAUAACAUUCUUCUAUAUGUUGGCAAAGUGUUACUUGGCUACUUUGAAUUACCUUAAGGAGAAAACUACAGUUUGUCUAAAUCCAAGCACUUUCUUGCACUAUAGUGCUUGCAAUUAUCCUUUCCCUUUCCCACACUUGACAUUUAAAGUGAUAUCUCACAGGCUCCUAAACAGCGAAGAAGGCACAGUCUGACCCCUGGAGUCUUCCACCAUCUGUGAAUUCUUGCCAGUUAAGAGUAAACACUCUGCGUAAAUUUCACAAUUGGCGACUGGUAACAGCAGAGACCUCUGGUUACUUGUUCCUUCCUGCUCUCCUUCUUAAAAUGCCAUACACAAUUAUCCCUUCACCACUGUGGGGCUGCUAUCAUCCCUCAGACAUAUUCCACCGCAAACAGCCACCAAAGAUGGACUCAGUGGUCCCGCUGCUGGACCUCCCAGGCACUUCCCUUCUCAAGCCUCGAUGUCAGGCGGCCCCCUUCCUGAGCUGUGGCAUCUUCCUCUAAAUCAUUCUUCCUCCUUUGCUUACCACAGGCCCUUGUCUUUGCCCUUUUCUGGCUACCACAACAGUUUUGCAAGAAAUUCGUCCAAUUAUCUGGGGUUCAAUUCUGGUGCUAUUCUCAUCUGUCUAAAUGUCACUUCAAUCUUCCUUCCUUGGCACCUUCUCACUGGGCACAAGGUUGGUUUUUACCUAGGAAGUCCUGCCUCCCACUUCGCCUUGAACUGUCAGCAUCCCACUUUCCUCAUUUUCUGAAUUUCUUUCUUCCUUUACUCUUUUCCUUCCCUUCUUAUCUGUGAACUCCAUUACCUGCUCCUGCACGUGACAAUGCCUACUGCAUUCCCCAAAGAAUGUGCCUUUUCUUCUUCUAAUGUAUUGGGAAGAACACAAGCUCGGCAGUCAGACAGAUAUGUAUUCUGAUGCCAAAUCUUACAUAUCUGUCUUGUUUGCCUCAGCUAUAAAAUGAGGAUACUAAUACCUACCUCUCAGAUUUGUUGGCACAUGAGGUGGCAGAGACGAACAACAAAGACAUGUUCUAAAAGUUCUGGGGUUCAGAUUCAAGUUGGUAAGGGAGAUGGGCCAACAAAUAAUUCACACACACACACAUAUAUGCACAAACUGUUAAGAGAACAUGGGGAGGGGUGUUGUUCUGCUUAGAAGCAAUCACGGAAGGCUUUACAGAGGAGGUGCUAUUUGAUCUAGAAAUUUUAAAAGAAUAGCUCUGCAGGUGGACCAUGGUGGAGGCCAAGGAAAGGGAAUUCUUAAAAGGAAUAGCAUGCAAGUAAAGGAUUAAAUCUGUGAAAUAUUAGUAGAAGAGCAUGGUGAUAGCACAGAGGGAUGGAAAGAAUAUAGUAGAAAUAGUUCACUGUGUAAUGCCAAUAGUAAAUUGAUAUCAGCUGACCUUGGCAAAGUCAUCUGUCAGGACUAUUUUUCAGUUUGUUCAUCUUUCAACUAAGGAUAAUGUAUUACAUGAAUUAAUACAAGCAAAGGGCAAGCCACAUAGCAAUUGCUCAAAAAUACUAAUUCUCUUUGUGUGUUUUUUUAAGAGAUGGGGAAGAUCCCAUCAGAAUGAAAGCCCAGGUAAUUCCCUGGCGUUAGGGCCCCUGGACUGCAGUGCCUGAGGCUUAAAGGACUCAUGUUCUCAUCCUGGCGUUGCUGUGACCCUGCUGAGUGACAAUGGGGAAGUUAUAACUCAGCUUCACAUAAUGUGACUUGUGAUUUGUUUUGCUUUAAAAGCUGAACCUUGGGGGUAAUCCCACCCUCCAUUUCAAGGAACAAGAAGACAUUCUGGAAUGUUACAACAUCGGGAGUGGAGAGAAUCACUGUCAUCAGGGGCAUGUGUGGUUGGCUGUAAUUGUUCUCUGUUGCAUAACAGGGUUAUAGAAUUUCUUCUUCCCUUAUUUUUAUGCCUGAGAGUCAAAGAUUCAUGACAUGGCAGUUUUACUUCCCUGGAGGAGACACUCCAGUGAACAAAAUCAGUCACUUACGUAUUGGCAGCUCUCGAGCCAGCAACCAGAGAAUAUUCAUUGAGUGUACAGCGUUUUACCAGAUGGUGAAAAGGUACAGAGAGAAGAGACAACUACCUCUUGCCCUCAAGGAGAUGCCAGUUGUGCAACAGAGAUAGCAUGCGGAACACCAGAGAAAGAAAUCUUCCAAAGAGCUCGGGACAGAGAGAGGCCCAGCCUAGAUUUGAACCAUAUCUGCCUGUUCCACUGAAGCAUGCUGACUGGGUAUCAAGCAGACCCUCCUGGAGUGGUGGUGGCAGUCGAAGAAGUAAAAUGAUACGAAUACUCCUCUUCCUGAUAGCCCAGUUUGUGGUUCAGUAUAGUCCUAGAGCCAGCACUUAGUGAGUGAUCGCUGCGUCCCAGGCACUACGCGAAUAACUUGACCUGCAUUGCUUUGUGGAGUUCUACCGACUCCCUCUGAGGUGCAUUGUUAUUACCCUCACUUUACAAAUGAAACUUCAACAGAGAAGUUAAUUAACUGGCCUAUAAGAUCCCGUGGCUAGUAAGUGGCAAAGCCAGAAUUUAAAUCCUGGAGGCAUUUAUUCCAGAAGCUACCCUCGUAAAUAUCACUACUACACUUCAGAAUUUUAACAUAUGUGUCUGAAUAUCUGUUGUUUGAUUCCAAUUUUAAACAUGUAGCUUCGUAGGUCAUACUUAACCAUUUCCCAAUGCCUUGUUCUUCCCUAAGACCAUUAAAAACUUCUUCCAAAUAAAUCUGCUUUACUGUUUCAAAAAAUCAUUUUGCUUCUCCAAAUAUAUAUUUGUGUGUGUGUGUGUGUGUGUGUGUGUGUGUGUGUGUGUGUUUUAGGGAAAGGCAAACUCAUUAAAAAACAUGAUGUUUGUCCUUUCCUGUUAUAUAACCGAGACCAUACAUCUUCCCACCCACAUGGUGAAUACUUAUUGGUGUGCUGGUGAACAUUAACAACCAGCUCUCCAGGGGCAGCAGAGGGGAGUAGAAAGCCUUGAUACUGUUUGCUGAUUUCUGUGGUGUAAAUAUUUCCACCACAGCUAAUUUCAAGAUACCAAUAUGAUGUCACUAAAUACGCAAUUAGGAAGAGAUGCUUAUGAUCAGCUCUCAGUAACCAAGUUAUCGGAAAUUGUAGCAUUUUCCCCUCUAGCCUUUAAAGUAUUUAUUCUUGCUCACACAUAAAUCACAUCAAUUUUCCAAGUGUGAUUUCUGGCUAACUAAAAUCAUGGAAACCAACAUUUACGGAGUGAUCUCUGCAUUCCAGGACUAUGCAAAUCGCUUGAGAUAAUUACCAUUGGUUGUAUUUUGACAUCAAAGAGUGUGUUAAAUAGAAUUUCCAAACUUGUGCUGCUCUUCUCUAGUAACCAAUGUAUAACCCACCAGUCUUCAUGGACACAGGUUGAAAUAUGGGGAAAGCAGUGUCUGGGGACAUAGACGCACCCUUGAUUCUGUCCUGGGUCUAGUACGGCUGAAGGUAUGACCUUAGUCAAGACACACAAUCUCUAUGGGAUCUGGCAUACAUGGCAAAAAGUGCUGACAAGGUAAGAGAACUAAAUGACAGACCAAAUGUAAAACACUAGGACAUUACAGAUGAUCAAUAAAUGUUAGGUACUGACCCUCGCUCCUUUCAUGAAUCAUUUAUAUUUUCUGAAUCCACAUCACCUUCUUUCUCACUGUCUUCUUGCUCAAAUGAUCUCCACUUGUUGUUCACUCAGAACCCACAUGGUCUGUUUUCUCUUUGUAGUAUAUGUCUCCCACUCUGAGUUGUGCUUUCUCUGUAUUUGUGUGAUUUUGUUUUCAUCCUCCAAGACUUCCUUUCUAAGCCUCUUAGCUUUUCCUUUUUGUAUUACUCCUUUUUUUUCUCAGGCUGUAAUUUUCUCAGCCAUGCCUUUCUCCUUCUACUGGGAUGUGCGCUUCGUCACCAGUGGGACUCUUAGUUUCAACUCUUUGCUUCUUCCUCCAUUAAUUUCUCACGAAACCCCUCCCCAUUUCUCCUCUGUGGAUUUCAGAAAAAGCCGUCUUUGUUGAUGUGUGUUCUGUUUGCCUCUCUAGACAAGAGCAGCCUUCACUGUCUUCUUUAUUUCUUGCAUCUUGUACAUCCCUUGCUCCUACCUUUCUCUACCAACUCCCAAGUGCUUCCACUGUCUCAACCUGAAAUCCAUUGUCUUUAUUUUUCCUUUUCCUUCCCAAAGGACCUCCAAAUCCCUCUUCCAUCAGCCCAUUAUUUGUCUUUCCUUUUCAUUUUUCCCUGAAACUCCUCUAGCUGAGUAGUUUUCUCUUUCAUGAUGGAAAGAACACAGGGCCGAUUUGCAUUGAUAUAUCUGUUUUGCAUCAUAAAGGUAACACUCCUUUUGUGUGUUGAGUAGCUGGAUUCUUGUCACUAACUUGGGGGGGGGGUGAGUAUUGUUCCUGUCUGGACACUGAAAUCUCUUUAAUAAAUCCCUGCACAGAAUGACAGUUUAGGUAGUGGAAAGAAACACAGACCCAGGCCUACUUUCAGAUUCAACUUGUCACAACUGUGUAAUCCUGAGCAAGGAAUUCAUCUCCCUAGGCUCCCCUCUCCUCAUCAGUGAAAUAGGGAAGCAGCACAAUAUAGGGUCUAAGAAUAAGGUUUUGUAGAUUGACAGAUCAUGGCCCAAUUACUGGUCCAUCUCACUAGCUAUGCACUCCAUAGGUUACCCACUUCCUCAUGAUAGCAAGCACUUCUUUAACAGUGAAAGGUAUGACAUCUAUGAAAUAGGUGAAUCUCAGAAAUGAAUGGAGGAUUCAAUAACAUUCUGUGUGCAAAAUACUUAACCCAUUGCCUAGGCCAUCUAAACACUCAACGCCAGGGUUUAUUAUUAUUGGGAUACUUACACUCCUCUCAGAAGUGACGUGGCCCCUCAUGCGUGUCUGGCUUUGCUCUUGCUGUUCUGCCUCCCUGGAAUGUCCUUCACUUCACCCCUGAAGUGUCCUCUGUGAUUUUUUUUUUUUUUUUACAUCUUUUGCAAAGCCUUCUCCAACCACCCCAUUGCUCUAAAUAGAGCCAGUCAUUCCCCACUGUGUGUUCUUAGAGCACUUUGCCCAUGCUUUGUUUGUAGGUCCAAUCAUGUUAUUUUGUAGCUUACAGUUUACUCACAGGUAUAUUUCCUACACACUUUUCCAGACAAUGAGCUUCUAGAGAAUUAGACUAUGUCUUAUCUUUUAUUCUGUUUCUCAGCACCAGACACAAUGUCUAACAAAUAGUAAGUACUCAAUGUAUAUUUGAUAAUAACUGGAAGAAUAGAAGCAGACAAAUGGUAGACAUUCAUUGUAAGUUUGCAAUGAAUGAAAGAAUGAAGAUAAGGACCAGCCAGUUUCUAGAAUUACACUAUAAGGCUGGGGCAUAUGCAUGGGCCAUGCAGGCAUCCUGGUCCCAAUGGAUCAGAUGUGCCUUGGCCCAACAGGCUGACUGAUUUGCUGCUGAGGCCCUGAGCUGCUGAUCUUGAACCUGUUCCAUUUCUAUAGGACAGGCACAGGCUUGCUCCUAAGUGUGGAGUAGGUUGGAGAAUGGGUAUAGAGUUAAAUGGCUCCAGCCCAGAAGAUAAGAGUAACAUAAGGGCAAGAAGACAAGCAACUCACUAGAGUAAUCUGAUUUAUUUGGAUCUCUCAAGCAGUAAUUCCCAGACAAUUUGGAGUUUUAACACCUUAUUGUCUUUAUUUCUUUAAAGUUGCACUUAUUUUCUUAUACUUAUGAAAACGGCACAGGAAAAAAAAACCUCACUAAAGUAUAACGGGAUUUUUUAAACACAAAAGUGAACUAAAAUUACCAUGCCUCCCAAUCCCCCCAUUCUUUGCUGACACUUCCGUGAAUAAGACCAACAUCUUUUGACUAUAAUGUGUCAGGCAUUGACCACUGAUUUGUUAUGUUUCUGCAAGCAUGGUUUAAUCUAUGGAAUAGGACUGUUCACCUAUUCACUUAAUAAGCAUUUAUUGAACACAAAGUCAGAUGUAGGCACCAUGUGACAAAUCAAGACUAAUAAAAAGUGAUGGCUCGGAAGACAGUCCUGAACGAAAAGUCAAGGGCUUGGAAUUCAAGUCUGUGACUCCACCCCUCAUUAGCUCUGUAAUGCAGGAUAGAUCAGAAGAACUCCCCAAAUCUCAGUUUCUGCCUCUCAGAAACCGGCAAAAUAUGAGCUGCCUUCUCUCCAACCCCUUCUCACAGAGUUGUUGUAAAGAUCAAGCGAACUAGUAUAUUAAAGAGCCUUGAAAACUGAGAAGUGAUAAGAAAUAACAAAGAAUGACAUUCAGCAGUUUUGUUUGUUUGUUUGCUUUUUUCCCUCCCCAUCAAGUAACAUCAGCUUCAUUCUGAGGAACUUGGUAUAAACCGAAUGUGAGACUGGAAAAUGAAAGCUGGUAAAUUGAACCCUAAGACAAUCCCCCAAAUUCUGACUCUGGUACAAAUUAGUUGCAUGAUGUGGUCCGCUUACCACCUCGCCUGGCCUCAAUGACCAUAUCUUGUAAAAUGAGGUGGCCAGACCAGAUGAGUUCUAAAAACCCUUCUAGCUCUGACAGUUUUCUUCUUGAUUCCAUGAAAAUGACUGCCAUCUGCCUGAACUUGGUGGUAAGUUGUGUUUGUAACUGUACUCACCUAGACAGGAAAGAUGAGAGGACGUGACUGAAAUCUUUGGGUCUAGGACCACAGCUGGUGGGUAGUAGACUCAAGAAGACACCGUUGCCCCAAGUCUAAUGUCAGAGGAGGCCAGCAUGACUUUGGGGGCCAUAGGCACAUAAGCCUUCAUGGGUCCCUUCCUGCAUCAUUAAUUAAUUAAUUAACUAAUUAAUAGUAUAUUUUAUGACUGUAUUGGUAUAAAGAUUAAUAUAUCUCAGGAUCAAUUAUAUAUUCUUUCUUUUGAUAUAAAAAAGUUAAAGUUUUAGUAGUCCUAAAAAAUUAUCAUGGAUCCUAGGCACUAUUCCUAUUGUGUUUAAUGGAUAUGUGGGCCUUGCUAGGUUCUCUUAAAAAUGGUAGUACAUUUUACUCAAAGAACGUAUAGACUGCCAGCCACCUAAAGCUUGACUUCCUUCUAGAGUAGGAAUUUUCAACUUCAGCACUUUUGACAUUGUACUGGAUAACUCUCUGCAGAGGGCUAUCCUGUCCAUUGUAGGACUUUUUUUUUUUUUUUUUUUUUUUUUUGAGAGAGAGAGGGAGAGAGGGAGAGAGCACAAGCAUGGGGAGCUGCAGAGGGAGAAGCAGGCUCCCUGAGUAGGGAGCCGGAUGUGGGGCUUGAUCCCAGGACCCUGGGAUCACAACCUGAAUGGAAGGCAGCCGAUUAACCAACUGAGCCUUCCAAGAGUCCCUGUAGGAUGUUUAAGAGCAACUUGGCCUCUACCCACUAGAUGCUAACAGCAUGCCUGCCCCAGUGGUAACAACCAAAAAUGUCCCCAGACAUUGCCAAGUUCUCCCUUAGAGGUAAAAUCAUCCCCAGGUGAGAAUCACUGUUGUAGAAUAUUCCCUCUAGAUGAUGCUUUACCUUUUGCCAAUAGCUCAUGAUCUUCUUGGGAAAUGGCUUCCCACACCAUUCCUGGUGAAAGAUAAAGUCCUUGCCUCUCCCAUCUUGCCCCCCAUACCUCUCUGACUUUCCUACUGCUAUUCCUGUCUUCCACAUGACUCCUGCCCCACUGUCCUCCUUGCUGUGUUCUGGAUCUGCCAGGCAUACCACCAUAGGGCCUUUGAAAUGGUUCGACCCUCUGCAUGAACACGCUUCCCCCAGAUUAUCCACUUGGUUAACUCUAUUAACUUCUUCACUUCUUUGUUCAAAUAUUAUCUUCUCAAUCAGGCCUAUCCUAACCACCCUUCAUAAAUUACCACCCUAUUCCCUGUCAUUCCUCUUCCACUUUUCUCUGUCACUCUCUGCCUCUGUCUCUAUAUAUACGUAUUUUCCCCCCAUAGCUUAUCACCUUCUAACAUACUACAACUGAGACUGCAACAACACAGGGGUUAGGGGCACCAAGCCCCUACGCAGUUGAAAAUUGACGUAUAAUUUUUGACUCCCUCAAAACUUAACUCAUAGUCUCCUGCUGACCAGAAGUUUUACCAAUAACAUAAACAGUCAAUUAAUGCAUAUUUCAUGUUAAAUGUAUUAUAUACUGUAUUCUUAUAAUAAAGUAAGUUAGAAAAAAGAAAAUGUUAUUAAGAAAAUAAGAAAGAGAAACCACAGUUAUAGUACUGUACUGUAUUUGUUGAAAAAACCCAAACCAGUGUUGUUCAAGAAUCAACUGCACAGAAUUUAUGCUAUUUAAUUAUAUACUACAUUUAUCAUUUAUUGUCUUUGUCUUUGCACUAGAACAUAAAAUCUACAGGAACAGAAAUCUCUGUUUUGUCUGUUUUGUUUUAUUCUACAACUGCUACAUAGUAGGUGUUCAAUAAAUAUGCUUUGGAUUGCGUUGAAAAAAAUUGAAGUAACCGCCUCUGUCUUGGAAAAGGACUACUAGGAAUUUCUCCUCUUUCUUCUGACACCAAAUCCACUUCUCUGUGUCUCUCUUGCUGUGUGACAACUCCUUCCCCAGCGGAGUUCUGGAUCUCUUCCCGAAGUGUCCCCACAACCCCCAGCCAUGUCUCCAUUCCUCUGUGCCUGCCUGUUCCCCUUCAGUCCCUGGGCCUCCUGGAGCAGCAGCAGAGGGGAAACCUGCAUGCUCAGGGUUUUGAAACAGCUGAUUCUUUACUUCUUGUAGCUGGUCUAUCCAUGAAAAGGAAUGAUUCAAAAGGGACUUGAAAAAACAAGACCUUGCUGUCCUUGUGGGCACAAACAAUGGCCAAGAGAACAGAGAAACCCCUUUCAAUCUUGUGUCAGGAAUUAUUUACCACUGGAGGUGCUGAAUAGAAGAGCCAAGCCAUAGGGUUAUUAUGUCCUCCUCUCAAAGUUGGCUGGGGAGAGGCAGCCAAGAAGUCACUGCAACCGGGGCUGGCAUGUGGGGACGCCAGGAGACCACGUCUUGCUGGAGAGACAGCCCUCGCUGACCCAGUUUCAGAACAACAUCGCCUGACACAGCACUGCGAUCCACAACUUUAAUAACUUGGCGACAUACAAAGCAGUUUUGAUGCAAAGUGGAGCUGACGGGGCAGCAGAGGGAAGACUCUGCUUCUCACCGAGCUGCGUGGGGAAUCCGUUCAAGGUGAUUGCAACCUUCGCAGCCGACAGUCCAGUCCGAGCCUGCUCUUGCAAACAAGUAAGACUGGUUUGUUUUCCAGGAGGACAAACAUAGGGCUGGCUGACAGGGAGUGGAACCAACUUAGAAAGACUGGUUGAUGCAGCCUGUCUCUUCUGCUUUGAUUUAUGUCCCCAGUAUUCCUGCUCUUCAUUACCCUUGCUGCCACUGUCUUAAUCCCAGCCUGUAUCACUUGGGCUAUUGUAACAGUUGCAUAAUAUUAAAUACUCAGAGCUUAUCCCCUCCAUCCCUCUGGUUCACAGCCGAUUUUGAAUGAUCUUCAAAAAGCAUAUCAAUGAUCAUGUAACUUUCCACAUCAAACCUUUCCCAGGCUCCCCAUUCCUGCAGGAAAAAAAAAAAAAAACUGUGAACACAAACAGUUCUCCACGCUCAGUCUGUGAGCUGUUUUUAGCCUCUUCCCCUCAGUCCUGCCUAUUUCUUGUCACUUCUUGCCACCACAGCCUCUAUCACCCCAAAAUCUAGUUUUCUUUUUGUAACUUAUUGAAUAUACAACACCCUUUUCAUUCUUUAAUGCUCUGAGGUGUAUGAUUAUUCCAUGUGCUCUUGAAUGCUCCUUGUGCUAGGGGGCUCACUACCUCACAUGAUAGUCAUUUCUAACACUGAAUAGCUUUAACACUCUGUAAGCCUUUUCUAAAGAAACAAAACCUGUGCUCUACAACUUUCAUUUGUUGUCCCUGUGCCUACUUUCUGGAGUCCCAGAGAAUAUGUUCGGUCUUAGAACUCCUUUCUGAGAAGUUAACAAAGUGAAACACAUCUUUUGAGCUUCCUAUCUGUGCUACAGUGCCAGCACAGUGGCGUCCUUUACCCAUUUUUCACAAGCUAAGGUUUUACUCAUCCCAACCCCCUUCCCCUCAUCUUUCUGCACCUUCCUCAUACAUCCAGAAUUCCUCUUAGAAUCAAAACGGGAAAGUUUGUACAUGGUGCAUUUUUAAAGAUAAUAGUAAC